rnacentral:rRNA from 1 species
AGGGCGCAUGGUGAAUGCCUUGGUACUAGGAGCCGAUGAAGGACGGGACUAACACCGAUAUGCUUCGGGGAGCGGUAAGUACGCUUUGAUCCGGAGAUUUCCGAAUGGGGAAACCCAACCAACUUAGUCGUUGGUUGCUUGACUAGUGAAUCUAUAGCUAGCAAGCGGUAGACGCAGUGAACUGAAACAUCUCAGUAGCUGCAGGAAGAGAAAGAAACAUCGAUUCCCUGAGUAGCGGCGAGCGAACGGGGAAGAGCCCAAACCAACGAGCUUGCUCGUUGGGGUUGUAGGACUGAACAUUUGAGUUACCAAAGAGCGACGUAGUCGAAACAGUUGGGAAGCUGUGCCAGAGAUGGUGAAAGCCCAGUAGACGAAACGGCACUCUCUCAGUUCAGGAUCCUGAGUACGGCGGGACACGUGAAACCCCGUCGGAAGCAGCGAGGACCAUCUCGCAAGGCUAAAUACUCCCUAGUGACCGAUAGUGAACCAGUACCGUGAGGGAAAGGUGAAAAGCACCCCGGAAGGGGAGUGAAAUAGUUCCUGAAACCAUGUGCCUACAAGCUGUCGGAGCCCAUUAAUGGGUGACGGCGUGCCUCUUGCAGAAUGAACCGGCGAGUUACGAUUGCAUGCAAGGUUAAGGUGGAAAAACCGGAGCCGCAGCGAAAGCGAGUCUGAAAUGGGCGUAUGAAGUAUGUAGUUGUAGACCCGAAACCAGGUGACCUACCCAUGUCCAGGUUGAAGGUGCGGUAAAGCGCACUGGAGGACCGAACCCGUGUCAGUUGAAAAUGGCUGGGAUGAGGUGUGGGUAGCGGUGAAAUUCCAAACGAACUUGGAGAUAGCUGGUUCUCUCCGAAAUCUCUUUAGGGGGAGCCUUGGGAAUUAGAAUCGUGGAGGUAGAGCUACUGUUUGAACAAGGGGCCCGUCAUGGGUUACCAACUUCAGAUAAACUCCGAAUGCCAUUGAUUUAUGCCCAGGAGUCACACGAUGAGUGAUAAGAUCCACCGUGUAAAGGGGAACAGCCCAGAUCACCAGUUAAGGUCCCUAAAUAUAUGCUAAGUGGAAAAGGAUGUGGAGUUGCAUAGACAACUAGGAUGUUGGCUCAGAAGCAGCCACCAUUUAAAGAGUGCGUAAUAGCUCACUAGUCGAGUGAUUCUGCGCCGAAAAUGUACCGGGGCUAAGCAUAUUACCGAAACUGUGGAUGUGCACUACGUGCACGUGAUAGGAGAGCGUUCUAAGGGCGGCGAAGUCAGACCGUGAGGACUGGUGGAGCGCUUAGAAGUGAGAAUGCCGGUAUGAGUAGCGAAAGACAGGUGAGAAUCCUGUCCACCGAAUGACUAAGGUUUCCUGGGGAAGGCUCGUCCUCCCAGGGUAAGUCGGGACCUAAGCCGAGGCCGAGAGGCGUAGGCGAUGGAUAACAGGUUGAGAUUCCUGUACCAGUUAACUGCGUUUGACGAUGGAGGGACGCAGGAGGCUAAGCAAACCUCACGAUUGGAAGAGUGGGGCCAAGCAGUAAGUCAGGAUGUGAGUCAAAUGCUUACAUCCGGGUUGACAAGCUGUGAUGGGGAGCGAAAUUACAGUAGCGAAGUUGCCGAUGUCACACUGCCGAGAAAAGCUUCUAAGGAGCACGUUAACUGCCCGUACCGCAAACCGACACAGGUAGUCGAGGAGAGAAUCCUAAGGUGAGCGAGAGAACUCUCGUUAAGGAACUCGGCAAAAUGACCCCGUAACUUCGGAAGAAGGGGUGCUAGCCAAGAGAUUGGUUAGCCGCAGUGAAUAGGCCCAAACAACUGUUUAUCAAAAACACAGGUCUCUGCAAAAUCGUAAGAUGACGUAUAGAGGCUGACACCUGCCCGGUGCUGGAAGGUUAAGAGGAGAGCUUAGCGUAAGCGAAGGUUUGAAUUGAAGCCCCAGUAAACGGCGGCCGUAACUAUAACGGUCCUAAGGUAGCGAAAUUCCUUGUCGGGUAAGUUCCGACCCGCACGAAAGGCGUAACGAUCUGGGCACUGUCUCAACGAGAGACUCGGUGAAAUUGAAAUCCCUGUGAAGAUGCAGGGUACCCGCGACAGGACGGAAAGACCCCAUGGAGCUUUACUGUAGCUUGAUAUUGAGUGUUUGUACUGCUUGUACAGGAUAGGUAGGAGCCAUAGAAGUCGGAACGCUAGUUUCGACGGAGGCGUUGGUGGGAUACUACCCUUGCAUUAUGACCACUCUAACCCGCAGCACUGAACGUGCUGGGAGACAGUGUCAGGUGGGCAGUUUGACUGGGGCGGUCGCCUCCUAAAAGGUAACGGAGGCGCCCAAAGGUUCCCUCAGAAUGGUUGGAAAUCAUUCGUCGAGUGUAAAGGCACAAGGGAGCUUGACUGUGAGACAGACAUGUCGAACAGGUGCGAAAGCAGGGCUUAGUGAUCAGGCGGUAGAGAAUGGAAUUGCCGUCGCUUAACGGAUAAAAGUUACCUCGGGGAUAACAGGCUGAUCUCCCCCAAGAGUUCACAUCGACGGGGAGGUUUGGCACCUCGAUGUCGGCUCA